UACGGAGGGUGCAAGCGUUAUCCGGAUUCACUGGGUUUAAAGGGUGCGUAGGUGGGUUUGUAAGUCAGUGGUGAAAUCUCCGUGCUUAACAUGGAAACUGCCAUUGAUACUAUAGAUCUUGAAUUUUCCGGAGGUCAGCGGAAUAUGUCAUGUAGCGGUGAAAUGCUUAGAUAUGACAUAGAACACCGAUUGCGAAGGCAGCUGACUGGAGGAAUAUUGACACUGAGGCACGAAAGCGUGGGGAGCAAACAGG
rnacentral:rRNA from 1 species